AUUGAACGCUGGCGGCAGGCCUAACACAUGCAAGUCGAACGAGUGGCGGACGGGUGAGUAAUGUCUGGGAAACUGCCUGAUGGAGGGGGAUAACUACUGGAAACGGUAGCUAAUACCGCAUACCCUCGGAUGUGCCCAGAUGGGAUUAGCUAGUAGGUGGGGUAAAGGCUCACCUAGGCGACGAUCCCUAGCUGGUCUGAAAGGAUGACAAGGCACACUGGAACUGAGGCACGGUCCAGACGCCUACGGGAGGCAGCAGUGGGGAAUAGUGGACAAUUGGCGCAAGCCUGAUGCAGCCAUGCCGCGUGUAUGAAGAAGGUCUUCGGAUUGUAAAGCACUUUAAGUUGGGAGGCGUUACCAACAGAAUAAGCACCGGCUAACUUCGUGCCAGCCGCCGCGGUAAUUC
rnacentral:rRNA from 1 species